CCAUCGACUCGAGACACUCGGCAGUCGCCAGUCGCCAGUCGCCGUGCUGCCUCAUUAGAGCUAAUCAAACUGAAUGCUUUAAUCAAAGUUUUCAUGUUUUCAGUUUUCACUUUCAAUUCGAUUUCGAUUCGAUGGAAAGCACAAAUACGGGCGUGUGGUGCAGAGGAGACCGCAGAAAAUGGCCAAACAACGAGUGAAGAAAAUGAAUGCGGAGAAAUUAGCAAAACGUGAAGCAGAAACCGCAAAAGAAGAGGCCCACAGCCGCGGCGGUGACAGGCGUGGGAGAGUACCGCCAGAGAUCUUGGGGAAUUGGCCGACGACUAAGCAGAGCAGAUGCCCAAGCUCGAGAGUCAAAGACGGACAUCAGUAUCGACACAAUGGGGUUUCAGAAUCAGACAAAUACGAGUACCAAAGGAGGCAGGCGACCCACAAAUCAGACAAAUGUCUGUGCUCCAGGACCUAGUGCCUUAUCGGAACGUUACGCUCGCGUGAUUUGUUUGAUUUGCGAUUGUUUAAACAUGGCUCUGUCUCGGGCCAACUCAAGCGGAAGGAGCCCAAGCCCUCUCACGCACCAAAACAGUUUCAGGGCUUACGUUACGUGACCUGGGACCUCAAAUCGGGACACAAUUAACUGAUUAGCUCGCCGGCAAUUGUCAGUUCUUUGGGCCAAAAGCGGCAGCAGCAAACAAAAGAGUCUCUAAGGCUCCCUACGAGGCCUACCUGAGGGAGUGCUCAAGUGAACACCUGGCCAAGAACCAUUGCCUGCUUGAUGGCCAACACUUCACUGCUGAGUGGCCAUCACUCACACUGAAGCGGCAACAAAUGACUUUUGUAUGGAUUGGCAUCAGCGGACAAUAAAAAUUAAAUCGCAUUCGUUGCGCCGCAGGACAGGAAACGGAAACGAACGACAAUCGAAGAAGCAGCUCCUGCGGUGUCUUUGUGCCGCCAAAAACCUUGCCUCCUUGAAUGAACCAACAAAUUUUCUUUCAUUCAUUGUUUAUUUGAAAAUACUUCCAAUACUUCAAGCUGAGAGAGAGUCCAAGGCAUCGACUGACAGAUGGUUUUUGGAAGAGGCUACAAAUCUCUACAUAUAAAUAUAUUUUUAAAAAACUCGUAAAGCACCCUUCCAACAAGUGUAAAUCGUUUCACAAGCAAACA
rnacentral:sRNA from 1 species